CAGUCGCCGCGGUAACACGAAGGGGGCUAGCGUUGCUCGGAAUGACUGGGCGUAAAGGGCGCGUAGGCGGUUUUGACAGUCAGAUGUGAAAUUCCUGGGCUUAACCUGGGGGCUGCAUUUGAGACGUCAAGACUAGAGUGUGAGAGAGGGUUGUGGAAUUCCCAGUGUAGAGGUGAAAUUCGUAGAUAUUGGGAAGAACACCGGUGGCGAAGGCGGCAACCUGGCUCAUUACUGACGCUGAGGCGCGAAAGCGUGGGGAGCAAACAGGAUUAGAUACCCCCGUAGUCCCUGUCUCUUAUAC
rnacentral:rRNA from 1 species